UAAUGGGUCAGCGACUUAUAUUCUGUAGCAAGGUUAACCGAAUAGGGGAGCCGAAGGGAAACCGAGUCUUAACUGGGCGUUAAGUUGCAGGGUAUAGACCCGAAACCCGGUGAUCUAGCCAUGGGCAGGUUGAAGGUUGGGUAACACUAACUGGAGGACCGAACCGACUAAUGUUGAAAAAUUAGCGGAUGACUUGUGGCUGGGGGUGAAAGGCCAAUCAAACCGGGAGAUAGCUGGUUCUCCCCGAAAGCUAUUUAGGUAGCGCCUCGUGAAUUCAUCUCCGGGGGUAGAGCACUGUUUCGGCAAGGGGGUCAUCCCGACUUACCAACCCGAUGCAAACUGCGAAUACCGGAGAAUGUUAUCACGGGAGACACACGGCGGGUGCUAACGUCCGUCGUGAAGAGGGAAACAACCCAGACCGCCAGCUAAGGUCCCAAAGUCAUGGUUAAGUGGGAAACGAUGUGGGAAGGCCCAGACAGCCAGGAUGUUGGCUUAGAAGCAGCCAUCAUUUAAAGAAAGCGUAAUAGCUCACUGGUCGAGUCGGCCUGCGCGGAAGAUGUAACGGGGCUAAACCAUGCACCGAAGCUGCGGCAGCGACGCUUAUGCGUUGUUGGGUAGGGGAGCGUUCUGUAAGCCUGUGAAGGUGUGCUGUGAGGCAUGCUGGAGGUAUCAGAAGUGCGAAUGCUGACAUAAGUAACGAUAAAGCGGGUGAAAAGCCCGCUCGCCGGAAGACCAAGGGUUCCUGUCCAACGUUAAUCGGGGCAGGGUGAGUCGACCCCUAAGGCGAGGCCGAAAGGCGUAGUCGAUGGGAAACAGGUUAAUA
rnacentral:rRNA from 1 species